rnacentral:lncRNA from 1 species
CUGCUCCACUCCCUGCGGCGGACCCUACGCAGCUCCAUUACUCCCUGGCAGGCCCUAAUAAUGGCCACGAUCCUGCUCCACUUCCUGCAACGGAUACCGCGCGAUUCUCCCAUUCUCUGGCAAGUCGCGACAACGGACGCCGCUCCGCUCCCCGUGGCAGACUCCACGUGGCUCGCCCCGAUGAUAGCCACGGGUCCACUCCACUACU